rnacentral:snRNA from 1 species
GCACUUGUUAUCAUAGCUCAUACACUGAAACCAGAAUGAUGCAAAAGUAAUUAGCAUGGCCCCUGCACUUGGAUGACAUGCAAAUUCUUUAAAAUUCAACAUUUUAC